UGUAAAGAGUCAGCUCCGCCCUUCAAAAGUUCCCAACCCUGGAACUUGCCUGGUGGUCCCAUGGUGAAGCAUCUGUCUUGCAGUGCAGGAGGCCAAAAUGUUUAAAAAUCGCUAGACUUUAAGUAGAGGAAGCACCAAGGGAAGAAAAAUAAAUGAUCAGAGUGUGGACAACUUUGGGGAGAAGUUUGGCCUUGAGUGGGAAGUUGACUGAUCGCAAGCUGCUCUUCUGGCUCCAGAAAACAAGAGGGACCCCAUGUGAAGGAUGGACAACAAGCAUCAGGCUCAAAAAGCAGAGGAGGCAGCCCAAGAGGGACAAGUGCCCUGUUGUAAGACUCCAGUGUCAACCUGUAGUGUCUAAUCUCACGCUUACAGAAACCCAGGGGCCCCAGGUUUGAUCCCUGGUCAGGGAACUAGAUCCCACACGCUGCAACUAGAAGUUCUCCUGCCUCAACUAGGAGUUCUCCUGCCUCAACAAAGAUCAAAGAUCCCACGUGCUGUGACUAAGACCU
ensembl:lncRNA